UAAAGUACUCGUAUAGCAUCGUACUCGUAUCGCUUUCAUUCCUAGUUGUACUUUUUGCAUUUGGACAGAUAUAUCUAAUUUGUUAUAAGCCGAACGCAUGCUCUAGGGCCGAAAGUGAGGUUAGGUACAUUUUAAAGAGCAGACAUGUACAUUUACGGAACCAAAGUCGAAAAAAGCCCCGACGAUCCGCACACAUAUACUGUCACUGUGAGGCUAAAACGUUCCAGGACAAGUACCUUGAAGUACAAUGUUAAAGUAAAGUGCUCCCUUGAGAACGUUCCAAAAUGCGACAAGAAGCAAACCUAUGUUGUCAACAUAAAAAUUUCAUUGGAUCAUUUUGUCAAGAAAUCGGAAAAUGAACAGCGUGCAAUAGAUCAACAGUGAAUACAUUUUCAACUGCGGACUGUCUCGACCAGAUCAAGCGCUAGCUCGCAUUCAUACGAGCUCGGACACAGUCACAGCAAAUCGUCUAAUCCAUAUUCGAGUAAAUAUACUUAUAUGGUUUUAUUGUCUUAAAAUCAUGGAAAAGUAAAGGCCCAGUGCAACUGU